UACGGGGGGAGCAAGCGUUGUUCGGAUUUACUGGGCGUAAAGGGCGCGUAGGCGGCCACCGCAAGUCGACUGUGAAAUCUCCGGGCUUAACCCGGAAAGGUCAGCCGAUACUGCGGGGCUAGAGUGCGGAAGAGGCAACUGGAAUUCCCAGUGUAGCGGUGAAAUGCGUAGAUAUUGGGAAGAACACCUGAGGCGAAGGCGGGUUGCUGGGCCGACACUGACGCUGAGGCGCGAAAGCCAGGGGAGCGAACGGG
rnacentral:rRNA from 1 species